rnacentral:rRNA from 1 species
CUGGCUCAGGACGAACGCUGGCGGCGUGNUUAACACAUGCAAGUCGAACGAUGAAGACCGGUGCUUGCACUGGUUGGAUUAGUGGCGAACGGGCUGAGUAAUACGUGAGUAACCUGCCUUUGACUCUGGGAUAAGCCUUGGAAACGAGGUCUAAUACCGGAUAUGACACAGUUUCGCAUGAAAUCUGUGUGGAAAGGGUUUGUACUGGUUUUAGAUGGGCUCACGGCCUAUCAGCUUGUUGGUGAGGUAAUGGCUCACCAAGGCGACGACGGGUAGCCGGCCUGAGAGGGUGACCGGCCACACUGGGACUGAGACACGGCCCAGACUCCUACGGGAGGCAGCAGUGGGGAAUAUUGCACAAUGGGCGCAAGCCUGAUGCAGCGACGCCGCGUGAGGGAUGACGGCCUUCGGGUUGUAAACCUCUUUCAGCAGGGGAGAAGCGAAAGUGACGGUACCUGCAGAAGAAGCGCCGGCUAACUACGUGCCAGCAGCCGCGGUAAUACGUAGGGCGCGAGCGUUGUCCGGAAUUAUUGGGCGUAAAGAGCUUGUAGGCGGUUUGUCGCGUCUGCUGUGAAAGCCCGGGGCUUAACUCCGGGUUUGCAGUGGGUACGGGCUAACUAGAGUGCAGUAGGGGAGACUGGAAUUCCUGGUGUAGCGGUGGAAUGCGCAGAUAUCAGGAGGAACACCGAUGGCGAAGGCAGGUCUCUGGGCUGAACGACGCUGAGAAGCGAAAGCAUGGGGAGCGAACAGGAUUAGAUACCCUGGGUAGUCCAAU